rnacentral:rRNA from 1 species
UACAGAGGGUGCAAGCGUUAAUCGGAAUUACUGGGCGUAAAGCGUGCGCAGGCGGUGAUGUAAGACAGAUGUGAAAUCCCCGGGCUCAACCUGGGACCUGCAUUUGUGACUGCAUCGCUAGAGUACGGCAGAGGGGGAUGGAAUUCCGCGUGUAGCAGUGAAAUGCGUAGAUAUGCGGAGGAACACCGAUGGCGAAGGCAAUCCCCUGGGCCUGUACUGACGCUCAUGCACGAAAGCGUGGGGAGCAAACAGG